CAGCCGCCGCGGUAAAACGGAGGGGGCUAGCGUUGUUCGGAAUUACUGGGCGUAAAGCGCACGUAGGCGGCUUGGUAAGUUAGAGGUGAAAGCCCGGGGCUCAACCCCGGAACUGCCUUUGAAACUAGGUGACUAGAAUCUUGGAGAGGUCAGUGGAAUUCCAAGUGUAGAGGUGAAAUUCGUAGAUAUUCGGAAGAACACCAGUGGCGAAGGCGACUGACUGGACAAGUAUUGACGCUGAGGUGCGAAAGCGUGGGGAGCAAACAGGAUUAGAGACCCCUGUAGUCCCUGUCUCUUAUAC
rnacentral:rRNA from 1 species